rnacentral:rRNA from 1 species
AUGGCGGCGCUCCGGCACGCGGGGAGGAGGCUCUGCGAGCGGGCGCUCCAGCGAGGUGGACCGCAGGUUAUUCCGUCUGGCCGCCGUUCCAUGUUCAUCUCCAUCGGUGGCAAGCCUAAACCUACGACUGCGGCGGCUCAGGAGGAGCUGAAAAUGCAGUUCCAGAAAAAGAAAGAAGAGUUGUUCGAUGUGCUGGUGGAGUUGUAA